GCCUGGCUCCCUAUUGGCCCCAGAUUACAGAGAUUUUUUUGGGGGUGGGUGGGUGAGAGAGUGAGGAGGGGACGGCGCAGCACAGGAGGAUAGAUAGAGGGGACGGCGAGACGAGGGCACAGGAUGGGACUGAGGACAGAAGACUAGAAAUGGAUCCCAGCUGCAGGCAGCAGACCAGACGCUCGCUGCCGGGGGAGGAAACGGCUUCGCGUUGGAGGAGAUGAAUCCACAGGAUGGCGUGUUGCUCAUGGAGGAGGUCUCUCUCCCGCUCUCUCUUCCUAUCGCCAUGAUGGUGUGAUGUGCUUCCCCAGCUCUGCGAGGCUGUAGCUGAGCACAUUCGGAUUCCAGUGUUUCUUAGGAACUGAUUGGUGCGUGGUAGUAGUCACAUGACGUUUCCUAACUGAGCUCCACCAACUUCAAACCAAUGAAUUCCUCCAGCGCAAUGUCCAAAACUGUUGUACCUUUGGCAAAAAGAAUGUGUUGAUGUAAGAGCCCGUCGUUAAGGACGACAAACGGCUUCUCGCUGAGUGAUUUCACUGUUGUUCUCAUUGGCACCAAAUCCCAUGAAGAGAUCCAAACCAACAAUGUAAUGAUCCUACCGACCUAUUCACAGGUAUUGUCUCUGUAUAUGCAUCUUUUAUAUAUAUAUUUUUUUAGAAUACAUUUAAUGUUAACUCAGUAGGGAAGGUAUAUCGUAUGUAUUGUCCAAAACAUAUACAUGAUGUUGGCUGCCAAAGCUCAGCAUCAGGAUGUUAACCCUCAGUCCUGAGUCCACGCUCCAUACAGAGUCAGGACGCCACUGCAGACACUCCACUCUCUGUGUCCCUGUCCUGUCCCCAUUCACACGCUGCCAUGGGACACCAACACGUGCACUUUGGUUUGUACUGCACUUCAUUGGCUUUGAAUAUUUGGUAUUUUAUUGUGUGUUGAUGGUGACCUAAUGCCUGGCUGCAACUCUUUAUGAUGAUAAUAAAGUUCAAGUCUCCCACCCAU